UAUUGAUGUUUUAGGUUUGGACUUUUACUGCAAUUUAUUUUCUUCUAUCAACUAAAGCUGUGACUUUUAGGGUUUUGCAGGUCAAAUUUUAACCAUAUAGAUUUUAGAAUUUGCAUGAUGAUGUUUUAGGUUUUUAACCCUAUAUUUAGGGGCAAAGGGUAAAUUUGAAUCACCUAGAAAUGCAUCGAUGAUGUGUUUCCAAUUUAAUUGCACUGAUGAUUUUAUAGACUUUAUGCUCUGAAAACAAAAUUGAUGUGAAUGUAAGAUCAGACAAGAUUUGAUGCAUGAUGGGAAUAUUGUGGUUGCAAUUUCUUGGGAAUUUGAUUAUGAAAUGCUUUGGCAAAGCUAUCGUGUUUAAUUUCCCAUUGUCCUCUCUUCAUUAUAUAUUUGUACCUCGAUUUACUCAGGCAUGCCCUAAUAGAAUCGAAACAAUUUAAAAUUCAACAGAGUUUCAUUUACAAAGGAUUUUCUCUUAAUGUAGAAAAGUAGGGGGGAAAUGGAGAUUGGCAAGAGAGAAACACUUUUAUUUUGGUUCAUCAUAGGAAUUCAACUUCAUGCCUCUUUGCAAUUCAAGCUGGACAGGAUCAACAGAGAUGAUUUUCUCAAAAAAAUUAUAUUUGGGGCAAGCACUUCUUCUUACGAGGUACCAUCAGUUCCUUAUUUCUUUUCUCUUUUCUAUUAUUUCUUGUACUGGCAGAAUAGUUGGUAUUUGUCUCUGGUAUGGCUGUGUACAGGUUGAAGGCGUAGCACAACUUGAUGGCCAUAAGCCUUACAUUUGGGAUACUUAUACGGGAGAAAAGGAAAUAUAGAAUUUGGAUGGGCGCACUGAUCAUUUUGACACAUAAAAGGACUAAGUUAAAAGUGCAUGUAUAGGGAAAAUGUUUGAUGGAAGCAUAGGGGAUGUUACUGUAGAUCAAUACCACCACUAUAAAGUAAUCUCGAUUACUUCACUAUGCUUAAUUGGUUCUGGACCACUGGUAAUUUUAAAUAAACUAUAUUCAUCAGCUUUAAGUUUGCUUACAUGACUGCUGCAAACAUUUUUUCAGGAGGACGUCCAUCUUAUGUUUAAAAUAGGAUUGGAUGCAUACAGAUUUCCCAUCUCAUGGUCUGACUAAUACCUGAUGGAAGGGGUGCCAUCAAUCCAAAGGGAUUGGAAUACUAAAAUAAUCUCAUCAAUGGACUCAUUCUCCAUGGUAUUCAACCACAUGUUACCUUAUUCCACUUUGAUUUGCCCCAGAGCUUGGAAGAUGCCUAUGGAGGAUGGCUCAGUCCCAAAAUAGUGUAAUGUUUUGAUCUAUAAUUCAUAUUGAACUUGGUAUUGUAUUGUAACUUGUAAGUUGUACUUAAUAAAAAUGUUCAGAAGCAGGUAUCUUAAGAAGUGGCUAUGGUUAUUCAUGAAGCUAAUCUUUACUCUUUAACAGAUGCCUAACAGUUUUUGAUUUGUUGUUGUUAAAUAGAGAAGAUUUCAGAACCUUUGCAGAAGUUUGCUUCAGAGAAUUUGGGGACAGAGUGAAGUACUAGACAACUUUCAACGAGUCAAAUGCAUUUCCCCCUUUAAGUUAGGACAUUGGUUGGUGGCCUCCAUAGCGUUGUUCUUAUCCAUUUGGAUUUGGCAAUGUAGUGCAGGAGAUUCUAUGGAGGAACCAUAUAUUGUUGCUCAUCAUGUUUCGUUAUUGGAUGCUGAAGCAAUUGAACUCUAUAGAGAAAAUUUUCAGGCCAAACAAAAGGGUUUUAUUAGCUUGGUCAUUCUGGCGAUGUGGUAUGUCCCAUUGACAAACUCUUCCAAGGACAUAGCUGCAACUUAGAGGACUCUUGAUUUUCACAAUGGGUGGUAAGUGUUUACUGAAUUGAAAUGGGUAUAAUAGUGGUUUAUUAAUGGGAAUCACGAAGACAAAAUUAUCCAAACAGUGUUUGUGAGAGGGGUUAGGUUUGUUAAGAUAUGGAAAAAGGGGCAUAAAGUUGGCUCAAGAUUGGUGUAGGGGAACAUUGUGAUGUGCCAAAUGACCAUCAUCCUCUAAAAAGGGUUUCUUUCCCCUUCUCUGUAGCUAUUUAUACCCACUAACUUGGCAUCUCUUUCUUCCUAUUUGUAUUGCCCACCUUAGCCUAUUUAUCUCCAUGGUUUUACUUGUAUAGACCUUCUUGAAUGGUUGUAAGGUAUAGGGGGAGAGGGGGGACAGAGUAGGAGGUCUUGUUUUAUCAUAUUUGUGUCAGGAAUUUAAGGAUUAACCUAGGAAUCUUCCUGAGCUUGACUUCAUUUUGCAUUGUAUACUCUAGGUAAAUGAAUUGGGUUGAGAGAGAAUGCUUAAAUAGGCUCAGAAUGUUGUCAAGUUGAUGAGUGGUGAUGUCAAUAGGAGGCAAGUGAAAGUUACUAAUUUUGCGAGGGUGGAAGAUGAGGGCAGAGGGCAAAAAGGCUGAAUAUUAGAAUUAAACAUAAGUUAGGCCGAGAGUGUAGACAUAUACAUAUAAAAAAGUUUUGAUUCCUCAAUCCAUUGUAAUAUGUUUGCAACCGAGGUUUGAAAAGCAAGUGAAAAGUAAAUGCUCAGUCGUUGGAAUCUUUUGUAUUUGAGAAUG